rnacentral:rRNA from 1 species
AUUGAACGCUGGCGGCAGGCCUAACACAUGCAAGUCGAGCGGAGCGGCGGACGGGUGAGUAAUGCCUAGGAAUCUGCCUGGUCGUGGGGGUUAACGUCCGGAAACGGGCGCUAAUACCGCAUACUAUCAGAUGAGCCUGGUUCGGAUUAGCUCGUUGGUGGGGUUAAGGCCUACCUAGGCGACGAUCCGUAACUGGUCUGAGAGGAUGAUCAGGCACACUGGAACGGAGACACGGUCCAGACUCCUACGUGAGGCAGCAGUGGGGAAUAGUGGAAAAUGGGCGAAAGCCUGAACCAGCCAUGCCGCGUGUGUGAAGAAGGUCUUCGGAUUGUAAAGCACUUUAAGUUGGGAGGCGUUACCAACAGAAUAAGCACCGGCUAACUACGUGCCAGCAGCCGCGGUAAUAC